rnacentral:rRNA from 1 species
CCUACGGGUGGCAGCAGUGGGGAAUUUUGGACAAUGGGCGCAAGCCUGAUCCAGCUAUUCCGCGUGUGUGAUGAAGGCCCUCGGGUCGUAAACCACUGUUAUUGAGAACGAAAAGACACCUUUUAAUCAAUGGAGUUGCUGACGGUACCUUAUGAGUAAGCACCGGCUAACUACGUGCCAGCAGCCGCGGUAAUACGUAGGUUGCGAGCGUUAUUCGGAAUUAUUGGGCGUAAAGGGUGCGCAGGCGGUUUAGUAAGACAGAUGUGAAAUCCCCGGGCUUAACUGUGGAAGGGCAUAUGUGACUGGUAGACUAGAGUGUGUAAGAGGAAGGUGGAAUUCCACGUGUAGCAGUGAAAUGCGUAGAGAUGUGGAAGAACAUCGAUGGCGAAGGCAACUUCCUGGGACAUAACUGACGCUCAGGUACGAAAGCGUGGGGAGCAAACAGGAUUAGAUACCCUAGUAGUC